ensembl:lncRNA
UGUGAGUUUUGGCCUCUUAAACCAAGUGAUGACUUUAAUGAGACGUAAGCAGCUUAGCAGCCUCUCUCUCACACACACACACACACACACACACACACACACACACACACACACACACACACACACACACACACACACACACACACACACACACACACACACACACACACACACAAUCACAUGCAGUUUCUCUCAACCUAUGUGUUCUCCUCAAUCCUUUCUGUCACACAAAAACAAGUAGCACAAACUGAUUAACACUCACAAAUACACAUUCUCCCUUUCUCUCCCUCUCUCUCUCCUCACCAUUGGUUUUGCUCUCUAUUCAUUUUUCCUUUUCACUGAGUGUGACAUUUUUCUCUCAUCACUUCAACAUUUUUAGGUCUAUUUUGUGUAAAUCAGUUAGCAGUUGCUUAUUUCCUCAGCUGAGGCUCAUGGCAGGGAAGCAAGUGAGGAAAUAGAACCCUUCUCUGCUCCAGCUGAAUAGCAGAAUGUAAAACUGCACAGCUAGUCCACGGAAAUAGUUCACUUCAUAUUCAUUCCUUUGGGCAGACAGAGAGCUAGUGCAAUCUUAAAUCACUUGUUGUCUUUCAAGGCUGUAUGCUUUUUAAAAGUUAACACACGCCUGAAGAGGCUUUGUCAGGAAAGGUCCUUUCCAUAUCAAUGGGUUUGUGGUCAAAUGUCUAGCACAUGCCAAAGUAGUACCUCUGUGCAUAACAGAGGUUAGAUUAUUUCAUUGUAGCCUUUACAUUUCUGUUGCAGAGAGGAAUAACAAUGGAGAAUGUGAGAACAAAAACAAAUAAACAAGAACCGAAAAAGAAUGAUUGCGUCUAUUUCACUGUAAACUGUUUGUCAGUUAGGGCUUCAGGUUUGUGAUGCCAAACAGAUUGAAGGCAAGGUAAAGGGGCUGGCCACUUUCACAAGGAAAGGGCAAAACCUUUCCCUGCUCUUUAAGUCAAAACAGGGCUGCAAACAACACGGUAGAAUAACCCCAUUAGACGACAGUAAGGAUGGACAAUUUCCCUGCGUCAGUCGGUUGCCAAUCAACCCGUGACUCCCGACCUUAAAAAGGGAAGAGAGCGUGUAUAAAACUCCUCUGCUGGACAGAGGCAUUAUCAAGAGAGCACCAAGGCCAGCUGCUUAAGAUUCAGCAGAAUACCAAUGGGUCUUAUCUGUCAUUCCGUUUUACCAUUCAGGAUGUUGUGUUUACUGAUGAAUUCCUGUUGCGUUUAUUGUCAGGGGUUUGUUAUCGGUGGAGAGCACGCGUUGCUGACUGAAUGCUGUCAGUCUUGGUCUCCACAUUCAGUGAAAUUUCACAUUCAGUGAAAUUCCUUUAUUUAACAUAUAGUGUGGUCUCACUGUGUCUAAAAAAAAGCACAAUCUUGUGUCUGUAUAAAUGUUUCUGUACAUCUUGUGGAUGGUUUCUGAGAAAAGCAUUUUGUCGGUUUCCAUCAGACAGCGCAUGCAAUAUUUAUACAAUGGUUGAUCAAGUGGUUGAGAGGAAAGUGUAGCAGAAACACAACUGACAUACUGAAUAUGUAGAACAAGUGGAGAAAUUAGAUGUUUUAACCUGACUGGUUAAUGUGUCAUCCCAAUGACAGUGAACCCUAAAUCAGCCCUCUUCUUCGGAAGCUGGCACUGUCACACGCCCUACUCCCCUUCACUGACUGCACCAUAUAGACAAACACCCCCUAAUUCUUCUCGACCUAUGUCAGCUUAUGACAGAAGACUGCUUUCUUAAUGUGUUGAUAGUCAGUUGGAAAACUCUCAGUUGACAUUUGAUGAUGUUGCCUUUGAUUGGUCCCUUAUUCAAUCCGACAUUGUUCAAUGUCAUUGUUCAAGAAAUAAGUAUUUAUGCAUUUUUACUGUUUUUACAUCCAGUUUUAAGGUACCAACAGGACUUUGCCAAGCAUAAACAGCAUCAGUAGCAGUAGUUACAUGGGAAAUAUAGACUCAGCCACUUGACAGCACAGUCCUCUGCUUUCCAUGUGACCAGACCUUAAUUGUGCUCCUCAUAUCUCCUCUGGGCGAAAGGUAGAGAUCUGAGAGAUGUCUGCAAGUGCACGGCGCGGUGCCUGAGAGCAGGGUUGCCCGGUGCUUCUUUGAUUCUGAAUCUUUCAGAGCCCUUUGAUAAAGAGAUCGGGGCGCCCAAACACAACCACUCCAUCACAAUGCACCUAAUAGCUUUCUCCUCAAACGAAUAACUCGCUGAUGUUUCUAAAGGUUAUAUUUAUCAGUUAUAAAUCUUCCCUCAUACUAAUAUCAUAUGUAAAUAAUGCAUUUCCACUAGACUGGCAUGUAAGCCUAGUCUACUGACAGGACACUGCGAUGAAUAAUAGUCAAGGAUAACUGUUCGGGAAAGUUAGAUUUUCCACUGGUCACAACCUGAUCACAACGACAGUCUCAGUCUCCACACACAGUCUCCAGAGCAACGGUCUAUCGCCCUAAAAUGAACCCACUGUUCAAGUGAAGGAGCGACCAGACUGAGCGAAGAGGGAAGGCUGCAUUUGUAACUGAUGGAGUCUCUCCGAGGGCUUCUAUUCCAUCCCAGUGAGAGCAAGACUUGAAGAUGGCGACUCUGGCAGGGGUGCCAUGAAAAGGGCUUCCAGUCUUGUAGCACUUUGUGCUUUGCAUUGUAAGAGAUGGGUUGUCCCCACCAGGCACGGUGAUAGAGAUCCUGUUUGUUCCAUUUUUCAAAGCCUUUCCCCGAUGCUUUGUGAUGGUCAACUGAAGAGGGACACAAUGAGAUCAGCUGUGGCCUCUCUCAUCAGUAUGCCUGACCUCUGCAAGUUUCAGGGACAUCACCCUGCCGUUCCCAGACCCACUGAAGUACAAUUCUGCUGAUUGCAAUCACAGCCGUGGUCGAACCCUCCAUUCAGGUCAGCCAUGGACACAAUGGAUCCCACUCGAGUGGGCUGCUUUCAACUCUCGGCUUAACAUCAUCCUCGAGGGGAGAGCAUGUUCCGGGGUUGAGAGAGGGGAGGUGGAGGUUGAAGUGGAGGUGAAUUUGAGAAUUAGCACUCUUUGUAUGUGUAAACAAAGGCUUCAAGUAAUUUUCUUUUUUUAUCCGUAAUAUACUGUUAUUCAGAUUUUUACGAAAUGACUAAAUGACAAGAGGUAUUACCUGUCCAGUAUAACACAGAAAAGGUCAAGAAAUGAA